rnacentral:rRNA from 1 species
CCUACGGGCGGCUGCAGUGAGGAAUAUUGGUCAAUGGGCGAGAGCCUGAACCAGCCAAGUCGCGUGAAGGAUGAAGGAUCUAUGGUUUGUAAACUUCUUUUAUCUGGGAAUAAAGUGAGGAACGCGUUCCUUUAUGAUUGUACCAUAUGCAUACGAAUCGGCUAACUCCGUCCCAGCAGCCGCGGUAAUACGGAGGAUGCGAGCGUUAUCCGGAUUUAUUGGGUUUAAAGGGUGCGUAGGUGGUUAAUUAAUUCAGCGGUGAAAGUUUGUGGCUCAACCAUAAAAUUGCCGUUGAAACUGGUUGACUUGAGUAUAUUUGAGGUAGGCGGAAUGCGUGGUGUAGCGGUGAAAUGCAUAGAUAUCACGCAGAACUCCGAUUGCGAAGGCAGCUUACUAAACUAUAACUGACGCUGAAGCACGAAAGCGUGGGGAUCAAACAGGAUUAGAUACCCGGGUAGUC